ACACUUGGAGAAGAAGAAAGGCAACCUGAAUGGCAGAUGCUUUGAGUUAUUUUAAAGACCCAUCUGGAAUGAAAGGUCCUGGCAAAGACAUCCUCUGUGGGUCGGCGUCAUGCUUGUGUCUUUGCCACUGUCUUCACUCAUCCACAUGGUAGAGAUCAAAGCUUCCAGAAGCUUCAAACAUGUACACCCCCAGGGAAUUUACUUAUACGCCACUGGCCCGUGUCUUCAGGAUGGUGUCUUCGCUACUUACCCACAAGUUGUACCAGUUCUGAACAAGCUUGCUGCCCAGUGUUCUUUUGAACUCAUAUCCGUCCCUCUACGCAAAACUGAUCGUUGCUCUGUUUGUUCAUAGCGUUUCCCGUUCGGUCUCAACCUCAGGCCCCCAUAAAGACUGUUUCUUCUCUGGA